GCUCGAGUGGUGAAAUUGGCAGACACGCUAGACUAAGGAUCUAGUGCCGCGAGGCAUGCAGGUUCAAAUCCUGUCUCGAGCACCA
rnacentral:tRNA from 1 species